rnacentral:rRNA from 1 species
CGGACGGGUGAGUAACGCGUGAGAAUCGGCCCUCAGGUUGGGGGCAACCAUUGGAAACGAUGGCUAAUACCGAAUAAGCCGAGAGGUGAAAGAUUAAUUGCCUGGGGAAGAGCUCGCGUCUGAUUAGCUAGUUGGUGGGGUAAAGGCCUACCAAGGCACCGAUCAGUAACUGGUCUGAGAGGAUGGCCAGUCACACUGGGACUGAGACACGGCCCAGACUCCUACGGGAGGCAGCAGUGGGGAAUUUUCCGCAAUGGGCGAAAGCCUGACGGAGCAAUACCGCGUGGGGGAGGAAGGCUCUUGGGUCGUAAACCUCUUUUCUCAGGGAAGAAUUUAAUGACGGUACCUGAGGAAUAAGCAUCGGCUAACUCCGUGCCAGCAGCCGCGGUAAUACGGAGGAUGCAAGCGUUAUCCGGAAUGAUUGGGCGUAAAGCGUCCGCAGGUGGCAGUGUAAGUCUGCUGUCAAAGGUCAGGGCUCAACCCUGAACAGGCAGUGGAAACUACACAGCUAGAGUGCGGUGGGGGCAGAGGGAAUUCCCAGUGUAGCGGUGAAAUGCGUAGAGAUUGGGAAGAACACCGGUGGCGAAAGCGCUCUGCUAGGCCGCAACUGACACUCAUGGACGAAAGCUAGGGGAGCGAAUGGGAUUAGAUACCCCAGUAGUCCUAGCCGUAAACGAUGGAUAUUAGGCGUAGCUCGUAUCGACCCGAGCUGUGCCGUAGCUAACGCGUUAAGUAUCCCGCCUGGGGAGU